AAGUGCUGCUCGAUCUAUGUGCGAGGAAGAAAUCCCUAAUUUUAGUUUUCAUCUUCUCCUCUUGGUAUCUCAGGAAAAAGAAAUAUCCACCGGUAAAACCAGAUCUCCCGCCGUUGCGAAGGAUCUUAGCCUUCCAGAAAAACGGAAACCCUCUCCCUGGAGUUCUGCUGAUGUUUUAAGAAAUGAGCUGCUCCACUUCAGGUUCUGAUACUGAGGCGAGUUCUUCAUCUUUCGAUACGGACACUGAACUUGAACGAUUCAGCCGAUUCAAACCUUGCGAAUACUCCAGAUGCAAUGCCCGAGAAGGUGCGUACGGAUUCACGUCCUCGUAGCGUCCGUGCUAACACGAAUGUAAAAUAUACACAUGACGACCCCAGCUCUGCCGACUCUCCUAGUGACUUUGUUGUUCCUCUCCGAAAUAACAUUGAGAGCGAGAGCUCCAACAACUCUGCGAUCGGUGGUUAUUCAGAGAAUCCCCUUGAAGACGACCCUCCAACGGUGGUUCCUACUGUUGAUCUUGGUAUUCCCUCCUCCAGGGAUGAUUUUGCUGUCAAUGUCGACAUUCCUUCACCCAUCCCAACUGCACCGUUUCCCGCCCCCAACUGGUAUGUUUUUCUCGUAUGAAGCUUGUUGUGUAAAUUUUGACAAGCUCAUUAUCUGGUGCAACUGAUUUUUAACUUGCUGGGACCUGUCAAUUAAUUAAUGCUUGCUGGUAAAUGUAAAUAUUUCUCAUUUGUUCUCGAGACGAUGCUUUGAAUGCUCCCGAUGUUAAUGAAAACCAGAAAGGUGCGGAUCCAUCAUCCACCUCCACCAGUGUUCCAGUUUCCCCAAACCCCAAAUUUAGAGCCCAUAAAUACUCGAACAAUGCAAGGACAAUCUUGCCUCCGACUCUGCUCAUGCACCUUGCACGAAAAUGCAAGAUUGUACUGGUGUGUUGGAUGAUUCGUUUACAAACUCAGGCCAUGGAAUAUCAGGUAGUGGCUCUCGCAAGCGGUCUCAAGUGGAGGAUGAACACACAGUUGUACAUAGGGCCUUCUCCAAUUAUGUAGAUAGUCCCGUCAUCCAAUCUCGGCUUCCAACAACUCUAGCAUCCGGUUCUACGUGCAAUUUCCCGGACUUUCCUUAGCUCAUGCAAAAUACGAAGGAGAACUUUAACCAGGAAUGACACUAUCGACCAAUCCGCAUCCGAGUAUGUUUAUUAUACACUCUGUAAUAUCACUUUCCUUCCUGACAGCAAAUACGCAUCCAUCCACACUUCGCUUCGCUUGUUUAGAAUAUGAUGAUUGCCACAUUUUUGAAGAAGUGAAAUCCAUAUAUGAAGCUUUUUUUUUUUUUAAAAAUCUUUGACAUAGUUAUGUAGUCGCCCCCACUGGCAUAUACGGAUACGAAUGAACUGAAGUAUUUGUCUAUGCUAGUAAACUUGCUUGCUCAUUUCUUGUCAAAGCUCACUGUAGUGCGAUAAUUUUAUGCUUGAA